AUCUGGCACUGUUGCUCAGAGUCAGGUGUGUAGGUGGAGUUGCCGUAUGACGUUGUCCAAGAUGGCGACAAGUGGGCGCAUGCAUGGUAUUUUUCAAAUCGGCAAGUGAAAAAACUACUGCAACUCGGGCAGUGACGAGCUACUCCAACUUGGCAGUGACGAACCAUAAAACCCUCGUGGCUUGUGACGUCAGAGGUUUAAAAAGUCAGCUGUGUCCCUUGUUUUUCCUAAUUGGCAGCUCGACCUGCUCCGGAUAAACGACUCAGAGAGAAAUAUGGAGUUUCUGCACAUGGAGACCAGGUUGAACUUGUCCAGCGUCAAAGUAGACUCCUGCAACUACAAGACAAGAUUGGUCAUCAUGAAAAUCUUCAACAUGUUGCUGUCAAUUUCCGGCUGUCCAGAGAAACCACAAUUCCAGCUUCACUAACCAACAUGGAUAUUCAAGACUUGAAGACAUGUAAAUGUGCUUGACUUUGUACUUUUGUCAAUGUAUUCCUCUAAGCUUCUUGGAUGAGAGGUGAAAUGUCCAGUUGCCUAACAGAACUUUUCAACCAUCAUCAUUACAGUUUUACUUUUGGCUGCUGUUGAGCCUUAUUUUUUGCUUUAUUUGUAAAUAAAUAAACUCAGUGAAAGACAUUUUUGUUCACCAUUAUUACUAGAUGUCUUUUGGAAUGGGGUCAAGGGCCAGUUUGGUUUCAAACUCGUGCUACAUUCAAAUGAAUUAAUUUUAUUUGGAAAAUGCUUACAUGCUGAUCCAGACAUACCCAGAGCGUUGCAGGACUUUUGAGUUGUUUUAGUUGGGCUUUCGCACAAAAUGAAGAAAAAUAGUGUUAAUUUUCCAUUUUGUUUACCACUCUCAAUAUGUCUUUUGUUUUGGUCUCUUUUGUCUGCUUGUAAUCUAAGCAGUUCCUGACAACACCUGUCUCUGGCAAUCCUUUUAGUAUCACACACAGUUAGGUUUUUGUAUGUUUUAAGUUGUACAACAAUAAAAGUUAAAACAUGUAGAAACACUGUUGUGGAGGGAUAUAAUGGCUGUUGAAAACACUUUUUAAUUAAAGCAACUGUGCAAACGUGGUCAUCGAGUCCCCCUCUGUCCUUACUGGAGCCAGGCAGACUUCUUUGUGUGUUAUUUAUGGCCACACAACAACAAAGAAACAGAACAAUAAAUCACACAAGCCGAACAUUCAAGUCCUCUCUGGAGGUAUGCAGCAGCUAUUGUGUUAAACUUUCAAAAGUCUGUGACAGAAAAGGAACCUUUGCUCUACUGAAGCCAGUUGUUAAAGUUUUUGAACUAUGGGAAUUUGUGCUGUUAUAGUUACAUCACGCAUGCAUUUUGAAUCAUGCAAUCAUGAAUUCAUUACGUUGAGAUAAUGUAUUGUUCAUUUUCAUGUGAAAUGUUGUACUUAAUACAGUAUCUUAGGAGGACUCGUCUGUAUCUGGGUAGCCUAUAGUACUAAUUUUUGCCCUUGCUUAAAAAACUUUGUGAAACAUAAUUGAGGCGAUGCUAAAAGUGUUUUUUUUUCUUUUCCCUAAUGAGUUAGAUUCAAUACAUGCGAUCAACUCUUAAGUCAACUUUUGGUCAGUGAGAAUCUAGGGUUGUGCCUUUAAGUUUUUUAUUCUUUUCUGUUAUUUUUACUUUGAAUGAUAUGUGAUCAUGAAGUUACUGCGAAGAGGGGGGUAGCUUCCCAGAGGCAUGUGUUUAUUUGGCAGUGGGUGGGCGGGUUACAUCAUCUAUCUGUCCCCUUCAUAGCCUUUUUGUCCCCUGUGCUGACAUAAAGAAACACAGUAAGAUCAUCAUCAGAGUGACAUAAGCUCAGUAGCAUUGAAAGCGCUUGGUCUCACAAUAGCCUGCGGCCAUGUUACAUCAUUAGUCCAACACUUUGUUGGGGUUCAGUCCAAUUAUUCUGAUCCGCCUGCGAACUGAAUUGCAUUAUUGCAAAUAAUAUCCAUAGCGUUAUACAAUGCGACAGAGAGACUGCGGGAGUUGGGGUGAAAAAGAGAACAGCAGCUGGAAAAAAGGGAUAAGGAGAGGAAACAAUUUGGGUGCCAGUAUUGAGCACUGGCGGUUGUCUAGUUGUUUGGUAGCUUGCUCUUUGAAAGGGCAUAUUGAUCAUGUCUCGCUCUGUAAUGAACUUUUGUAUUUACCACAUAAACAUCUCUACCAUCCACCUACUCAUCCACUUUCCUGCAUUGAUUACAAUGUUCCUGUGUCAGACUUUGUUAGAGGACCUAUUUUGUUCCUCGUUUCUGCUUCUGUCCAGGACUUUCACCUUUUUCCUUUGUCACUCUAUGUCCUCUUCACUUUUUGUUCUUUUGGUCUCGUACUAUAUAUUUCACAGUUAUUGCGCUUUGGCUGUCGGGGCUUGUGGUGAUCAUUGUGUCCCAGAUCAUUACUUUUUCCAUUUUGAUAAAGCUUGAGGUGUAAUAGUAUGAAAAGUCAGAGCCAGAAGCAGAUGAUAGCCUCAGUCCUGCCAACAGCGACAGCAUUGGCAUUGACAAUUAAUUUAACUAAGGCUCUAUCCACCCUGCUAAAUGACAUGGUUUAAGUCAGUUGAGAUGGCGAUCAAAGCAUCCGGAUGCCGUGGCUGCAGCCUAACCACAAAUUCCCUCAGGAAAUAGUAUGGCCAGGGGCUUACAGCUAACAGCUCUAAGUCCAGCAUCAUACGACUACCUUCAUCUAUAGGUCACAGGGGUUAUACCAUCAGUUGUUUA